rnacentral:rRNA from 1 species
GACGAACGCUGGCGGCGUGCUUAACACAUGCAAGUCGAGCGGUAAGGCCCUUUCGGGGGUACACGAGCGGCGAACGGGUGAGUAACACGUGGGUAACCUGCCCUCAGCUCUGGGAUAAGCCUGGGAAACCGGGUCUAAUACCGGAUAUGACUCCAUGACGCAUGUUGUGGGGUGGAAAGCCUUGUGCGGCUGAGGAUGGGCCCGCGGCCUAUCAGCUUGUUGGUGGGGUGAUGGCCACCAAGGCGACGACGGGUAGCCGGCCUGAGAGGGCGACCGGCCACACUGGGACUGAGACACGGCCCAGACUCCUACGGGAGGCAGCAGUGGGGAAUAUUGGACAAUGGGCGAAAGCCUGAUCCAGCCAUGCCGCGUGGGUGAAGAAGGCCCUAGGGUUGUAAACCCCUUUCAGCGGGGAAGAUAAUGACGGUACCCGCAGAAGAAGUCCCGGCUAACUCCGUGCCAGCAGCCGCA